rnacentral:lncRNA from 1 species
GCAGAAUAUCAUAAGAUUCAGGAUAGCUCAGAAGACUAAGCUUCAUAUCUAAUUAAUCCUGAAACAUUAUUUAAUUGCCCAAAUCAACUGUCAUACUAAUUCAUGUUCCUAAGUUCAUAGUGGAAGGAGACCAAUUCUAAAGAGAUCUUAGUCUGGCCAUUUAAAAAGUCAUCCUCAUUCAGGAGAGUUACUCAAUUUCAAUUUAAUUCUUCAUUUCAAAGAGGAAUAAUUAUGUUCACUUAUUUUGAAUAAUAAGUUAUUGUAUAAUGUGUUCUAAGUGAGAAUUAAUUAGUAAGUCACCAGUCACAUUUAGUGAAAAUAGAAAACAUACUUCCCUUUGUUUUCAGAAAUAAGUAAUUGCUUUUGUCAGUCCACAGAAAGCUGUUGACCAUCUGCUAUUCCUAAUACUUUGAACAGUGUGCAGAAAGUGUCCGAAGUAGAAUAACAGUGUGUUUAUGAUUGUUUUAGGAAACAAGAAACCAAGAAUUGGACGAAUUAUCUGGGCUCAGUGGCUCACGCCCGCAAUCCCUGCACUUUGGGAGGCCGAGGAAGGAGGAUUACCUGAGGUCAGGAGUUCGACACCAGCCUGGCCAACAUGCGCCAUGUUUUGAGGAAGCCCAGGCUCCAUGGAGAGGCCAAUAGCCAAGACUAAGGUCUCAGCCAAAAGCGAGCAUCACCUGCCAGAUACGUAAGUGAAUGAGCCAUUGGAUGAUUUCCGUGGCUAGCCUUUGAGUUGCCUCAGCUAACAUCAAGUAGAACUCUGACCAUCUUGUAGAUUUGUGAGCAAAAUGCAUACUGUUGUUGUUUUAAGCUACUAAGUUUUUGGGGUGGUUUUUUAUGCAACAGAAGAUAACCGAAACACACAGAUCAUAGGACUACAGAACAAUAUGUGUCUUACAGAGUAAAUGAUUAAUAAAGAAUUCCCAAAUGAAUAAACACAUGAAUAUGAUUAUAGUAAAUCAAAGUGAAUAUAAUUUCCAUUUUCCAAUGGCAACACUGAUAUGUUUUUUUCUGACAUCAUUAUUCCUCAAAAUGCUGUUAUGGACUAAACUGUGCCUCCCUCCCAAAUUCCUAUGUUGAAGCCCAAACCCCCAGUGUGACUAUAUUUGGAGAUAGGGCCUUUAAAGUGGUAAUUAAGGGUAAAUGACAUCAUAAGGAUGGGGCCCUAGGCUAACAGAACUGUGUGUGGCCUUAUAAGAAAAGGAAGAGACACCAGGGAUAUAUGCACGGAGAAAAAGCCAUGUGAAGACAGGGUAAGAAGACAGCCAUUUGCAAACCAAGGAGAGAAGCCUCAGGAGAAACCAAACCUGCUGACACCUAGAUCUUGGACAGCCAGCCUCCUAAACUGUGUGUGAGACAAUACAUUUCUAUUAUUUAAGUCACCCUGUCUGUGGUGUUUUGUUAUGGCA